rnacentral:rRNA from 1 species
GAUCAACGCUGGCGGCGUGCCUAAUACAUGCAAGUCGAGCGAACGGACGAGAAGCUUGCUUCUCUGAUGUUAGCGGCGGACGGGUGAGUAACACGUGGAUAACCUACCUAUAAGACUGGGAUAACUUCGGGAAACCGGAGCUAAUACCGGAUAAUAUUUUGAACCGCAUGAUUCAAAAGUGAAAGACGGUCUUGCUGUCACUUAUAGAUGGAUCCGCGCUGCAUUAGCUAGUUGGUAAGGUAACGGCUUACCAAGGCAACGAUGCAUAGCCGACCUGAGAGGGUGAUCGGCCACACUGGAACUGAGACACGGUCCAGACUACGACGGGAGGCAGCAGUAGGGAAUCUUCCGCAAUGGGCGAAAGCCUGACGGAGCAACGCCGCGUGAGUGAUGAAGGUCUUCGGAUCGUAAAACUCUGUUAUUAGGGAAGAACAUAUGUGUAAGUAACUGUGCACAUCUUGACGGUACCUAAUCAGAAAGCCACGGCUAACUACGUG